UGGCACAGCCAAAAUUUCAAAUCAUUUUGACAAAGUUAACUUGCUCAAAUUCAUGGUUUAAAUUUGAAAAACUGUA